rnacentral:rRNA from 1 species
UACGUAGGGUGCGAGCGUUAAUCGGAAUUACUGGGCGUAAAGCGUGCGUAGGCGGUUCGUUAAGUCAGCUGUGAAAGCCCCCGGGCUCAACCCUGGGAACUGCGGUUGAAACUGGCGAACUAGAAUCUGGCAGAGGGGGGUGGAAUUCCACGUGUAGCAGUGAAAUGCGUAGAGAUGUGGAGGAACACCGAUGGCGAAGGCAGCCCCCUGGGCUGAGCAUUGACGCUCAGGCACGAAGCGUGGGGAGCAAACAGG